GCUGCGGGGCGCGGGGCGCUGCGGGGCCGCGGGGCGCCGAGCUGCCCCCUCCCCGCCCGGGCAGCGGGCGGAGCGGCAGCCCCGGGCAGAGGCCUGGCCCGAGCGACCCCGCGGGCACGGGCAGGGCUGUUCUGCCCGCGGGCAGCGCCCUGAGCUCCCUCUCCGAAAGAGGACGGGCUGCUGAAGUCCCCUCUUGGGGGCGAGGGGGGUGUCCGUCCCCUCCUCCCCCCCAUUCUGGCUCUCCACGGGGAUCCGAAGCGUUUGGGUAUGGGGUCGGGUGCACCCGCUUGGCAGCUUGUAGAUGCCAGGCAUGGUCCUGAGGGCACAGAAUUUUGGCUGGGUGUGAGGCAUUUGCUUCGUGUGCUUCAGCUGCUGAGCAGAGCCAUCGCCUCCCCGCCAAGGGCAGAAACUCCAGUUUUGCAAUAUUGGUUUCGACAUGAUGCCGUUGCCUUUGGAAGACCAUGGUUGUAACUGAGCUGGCGUUUUCAUUUCAAACACCAUUUUUCAGUGGUUUAUGACUCAGAUUUUCAGAAAACCUUCAGUUUUUCUGCAGGUGUCAGUUGAGGAGUGCUCAGCAGUCCAAGAUGCUGCACUAUUUUUCUUACCAGCAGAUGGCCUUGCACCUUUCCCGACAUGCAAAGAAGGAUCAGACUGUGGUGGGAUCAAACUCCAGAACAGUUAAAGCGCCAAGAGGCUGACUUUUUAGCUCCAUUGCAGUUCCACCUUUAAAAAUGUAAGGUUUUGGAAUUAAAGUGAAGUUUUUGAUUUA